rnacentral:rRNA from 1 species
AGUUUGAUCCUGGCUCAGGACGAACUGCUGGCUGGCGUGCUUAACACAUGCAAGUCUGAACUGAGGCAGCUGGCCUUCGGGCCUGUUGUCUGAGUGGCUGAACGGGUGAGUAACACUGUGAGGAACCUGCCCCUGGAGACCGGGACAACCAGAGGAAACUCUGGCUAAUACCUGGAUGCCCCCGGAUGGUCGCAUGGCCAACCGAGGAAACGCUCCGGUGCUCCGGGAGGGCCUCGCGGCCUAUCAGCUUGUUGGCGGGGUAACGGCCCACCAAGGCAUCGACGGGUAGCUGGUCUGAGAGGACGAUCAGCCACACUGGGACUGAGACACGGCCCAGACUCCUACGGGAGGCAGCAGUGGGGAAUAUUGCGCAAUGGGCGAAAGCCUGACGCAGCAACGCCGCGUGGGGGAUGACGGCCUUCGGGUUGUAAACCCCUUUCAGCAGGGACGAAAAUGACGGUACCUGCAGAAGAAGCCCCGGCCAACUACGUGCCAGCAGCCGCGGUAACACGUAGGGGGCAAGCGUUGUCCGGAUUUAUUGGGCGUAAAGAGCUCGUAGGCAGUUGCGUAAGUCGGAUGUGAAAACUCAGGGCUCAACCCGGAGACGCCAUUCGAUACUGCGCUGACUAGAGUCCGGUAGGGGAGCAUGGAAUUCCUGGUGUAGCGGUGAAAUGCGCAGAUAUCAGGAGGAACACCAGUAGCGAAGGCAGGUGCUCUGGGCCAGAGUACUGACGCUGAGGAGCGAAAGCAGUGGGUAGCGAACAGGAUUAGAUACCCUGGUAGUC